rnacentral:rRNA from 1 species
GACGAACGCUGGCGGCGUGCCUAAUACAUGCAAGUAGAACGCUGAAGGAGGAGCUUGCUCUUCUGGAUGAGUUGCGAACGGGUGAGUAACGCGUAGGUAACCUGCCUGGUAGCGGGGGAUAACUAUUGGAAACGAUAGCUAAUACCGCAUAACAUUGACUAUUGCAUGAUAGUCAAUUGAAAGGUGCAAAUGCACCACUACCAGAUGGACCUGCGUUGUAUUAGCUAGUUGGUGGGGUAACGGCUCACCAAGGCGACGAUACAUAGCCGACCUGAGAGGGUGAUCGGCCACACUGGGACUGAGACACGGCCCAGACUCCUACGGGAGGCAGCAGUAGGGAAUCUUCGGCAAUGGACGGAAGUCUGACCGAGCAACGCCGCGUGAGUGAAGAAGGUUUUCGGAUCGUAAAGCUCUGUUGUAAGAGAAGAACGAGUGUGAGAGUGGAAAGUUCACACUGUGACG